rnacentral:rRNA from 1 species
GUUUGAUUCUGGCUCAGGAUGAACGCUGGCGGCAUGCCUAAUACAUGCAAGUCGAACGGAGUGAAGCCUUCGGGUUUCAUUCAGUGGCGAACGGGUGAGUAAUACGCAGGGAACCUGGCCAUGGCAGGGGGAUACACUCUGGAAACGGAGCAUAAGACCCCAUAGGCAGUAAGGCGGCAUCGCCUUACUGUUAAAGAAAGCUGAAAGGCUUUGGCGAUGGAUGGACCUGCGGUGCAUUAGCUUGUUGGUGAGGCAACGGCUUACCAAGGCGAUGAUGCAUAGCCGGCCUGAGAGGGCGGACGGCCACACUGGGACUGAGACACGGCCCAGACUCCUGCGGGAGGCAGCAGUAGGGAAUUUUCGUCAAUGGGCGCAAGCCUGAACGAGCAAUGCCGCGUGAGUGAGGAAGGUCUUCGGACUGUAAAGCUCUGUUGCCGGGGAAAAAGGGGAAAUGCAGGAAAUGGCAUUUCAUGGAUGGUACCCGGCCAGAAAGCCACGGCUAACUACGUGCCAGCAGCCGCGGUAAUACGUAGGUGGCGAGCGUUAUCCGGAAUGAUUGGGCGUAAAGGGUGCGCAGGCGGUCUGUCAAGUCUGAAGGCAAAGGGAUGAGCUCAACUCAUUUAUGAUUCAGAAACUGGCAGACUUGAGGACAGGAGAGGGCGGUGGAACUCCAUGUGUAGCGGUAAAAUGCGCAGAGAUAUGGAAGAACACCAGUGGCGAAGGCGGCCGCCUGGCCUGUGACUGACGCUGAGGCACGAAAGCGUGGGGAGCAAAUAGGAUUAGAUACCCUAGUAGUCCACGCCGUAAACGAUGAGGAGCAGGUGUUGGGAGUGAAAUCUCAGUGCCGAAGCCAACGCAGUGACUCCUCCGCCUGGGGAGUAUGCACGCAAGUGUGAAACUCAAAGGAAUUGACGGGGGCCCGCACAAGCGGUGGAGUAUGUGGUUUAAUUCGAAGCAACGCGAAGAACCUUACCAGGUUUUGACAUCGGAUGCGAAGGCGCAGAGAUGCGCUGGAGGCUAUCAUCCAGACAGGUGGUGCAUGGUUGUCGUCAGCUCGUGUCGUGAGAUGUUCAGUUAAGUCUGGCAACGAGCGCAACCCCCGUGGUAUGUUACUAACGCAUUUGGGCGAGGACUCAUAUCAGACUGCCGGUGACAAACCGGAGGAAGGCGGGGAUGACGUCAAAUCAUCAUGCCCCUUAUGACCUGGGCUACACACGUACUACAAUGGCGUCUACAGAGGGAAGCGACCCUGAGAAGGGAAGCGAAACCGGAAAAGGGCGUCCCAGUUCGGAUUGAAGUCUGCAACCCGACUUCAUGAAGAUGGAAUCGCUAGUAAUCGCGGAUCAGCAUGCCGCGGUGAAUACGUUCCCGGGCCUUGUACACACCGCCCGUCAAACCAUGGAAGCCGGCAACGCCCGAAGCCGGUGGCAUAACCUUUUAGGAGUGAGCCGUCGUAGGCGGGGCCGAUGACUGGGGUUAAGUCGUAACAAGGUACCC